AUGAGCACAUGAAAUAUCAGUCUCAUUGUUACCAUGACUUGUACAUCGGCAUAUUGUACAUGGAUUGGAUACUCGAAUAUCUGAAUCAAUUUCAUAUGCUUCUCCACCAUAAUAACAUUCUUCAAACAAUUAAAACCAAUAUUUUUCUUGGCAGAUUUGAUCAAUUAACUGAUUGUUGGAUGAUAAAUAAAAAAUCAAGUUUACUCACUAUUUGAAUCUUUUUGAGUGACUGGACAAUCAAAUUGGUCAACACAAUUUGGACAACCUGAUCUGUAAACUGGAUUACAUCCUUUAGCGUUAUAAUGAUGAGUGUAUUUUAAUUCUGGACAAUUGUCACAAUUAACCGGAGCUGUUGAGCAAAAAUUAAUUAGUGAUUCAUUGUUAAUUAAUCUUAAAGCAAAGAGUGAAACUAACCUGAAACCACUGAUUUGGUAGCUGCCGAAGUGGAGACAAUUGAAAUUGCUGUUAACAACAAUUGAAGCGAAUUGAUAUUCCAUUGGUGAUGAUAUUCCAUGAAUAUGAUGUAGUAAUUUGUCCUUCAAUCGAGUUUUAACUAAUUAACUGAUGACGAUAUUCAAUGAAUUGGGUCACUGGUGAAAUUGUCAUUGAUUAGUAAGAUUUAGUAUCUUUGACCAUCAUGGUUACAUUUUCGUGAUGAUUGAUUUUAUCACUAAUUGAAUAACGUAAUCAAUGUUUGCACUUAAUCAUUUCAACUUGUUUUAUUGCAAUUUGUCUUCACCAUUAAGGUCAAUUUGCUUUAAGAAAAAAGAAAUCAAAUUUCAAGGUUAAUUAUCAUCGUUGAUUCAUCUCUCCCUCUUUCAAACAAUUGAAGAUUCAUGUCAAACAUUUCCUACUAUUCAGUUGAUUUUGUCAACCGAUUAGACUUAUGGUGACCUCGUAAACUAAUAUUAUCAAAGAGAUUCAUCGAGUGAAGAGAAACAAUUACUACACCGAAAAAAAGUUCUAAUUUACAAAAUCGAGGAAAAUAAUCAUUGAAAAUCUAAACUACGAUUCAAGGUCAAUUAAUGUUCGCAAAAAAUAUUAGCUCAUUCAAAACGAUCACAAUUAACUUCAACAAGAAAAUAAUAUCAAACAUGUUAUCAUAAUGAUGAUAAUGAUGAUGAUUAUUGUUAUUAUUAUGAUUACUGUUUAAAUAUGAUUAAAGUACCCACAUUUAUAUGGAUAAAUGUGUAUACUAGAUGAUAAAUAAUCGUAAUAAUUUUGAAUAGUAACAAUAACGAUGAUAGUAAAGCCAUGGAUUCAGAAUACAUUUAUCAUAAGGUUGAAGCCUCUUAAACCACUAAUGUCAUUUAGUGUUAAUGUUUAUAACAUUGAAUCCAGUUGAAAGAUAAUCAACAAUCAAUGAUUGUUAUUUGAUUGUUGUGUUACCAUUAACAUGGAAACAAAACAAAAAAAUAAUAUAAAUAUUUUAUUCGGUAAAAUAUAAGUUGAUAUAAUUUUCUGAGGAAGAAAAAAAUAAUCGAUUCUUUUUAUUUAUCUUCCAUGAUGAUGAUGAUUUUAAUUCAGUUUUCUUUUAUCUUUCUCAUAUAACAAUUAACCCUCGUUAAUCACUCAUUGUGAUUGUAUUGAAAUGUCUCCAAGUGUAAAUAAUAUCAAAUGAUAAUUGAUAACUUUUAUUUAAAGUUAAUCUAUUAUUUGAUAUUAAAAUGUUUUCUUUCAUUAAUCAUUUAGAUUCAACAAUUACUAUUAUGUUAUUUGGUUUUCAUUAUGAUAAUAAUAUCAAAAUGAUGAUAAACUUGAUUAUCACCAAAUGAGAGUCAAUCCUAACAGAAUGACCUUAGUUUGAAACUGUUACGAUUGAUAUACUGCCAAAGGUCAUUGAGGUUAUUAAUUUGAAGAUAUCAAAGUUGACCAAGACAAUUUAAACUGUGUCGAAGUGAUAAUAAUGAGGAUAAAUAGAAAAUGAUGAAUUGAAGUUGAAGAAAAAAAAUAUUGUAAGAAAAUUAGAAAAGUUAUUGAAUUUCCGGUUCCAGAUUGUGAUUCAUGAUAACAGAAAUUAUCUUGAUAUUCCCAUGAUGAUGGACAUUGGUCAAUAUGUUUAUAGUGAGAUGAUAUCUCAGGAUUGACUCGUGAUUGGCAGCAAAAUGAUUCUAAUCAUCCUUAUCAUCAUCAUCUUCUUGGAUUAAAACUUAUACCGUGAAGUGGUUUCUUAACCAGAAGGAUGAAGAUGUCGGUUCAUGGGAUGAAGAUGAUAAUGAUAUAAAUAAAAAAAAGUUACUUUCUCUCUCUCUCAUCAUUAUCAUCAUCUUCCUCUUUCUUAUUAUUAUGAAAGGUUCAUUCGCAACGAACUGAAUUCGUGAACAGAAUCUUGACCAAUCAUUUGUUAUCAUUGACAAAAGACUUUGAAAAUAAUACUAACAAGAUCUCAUCACUGGGAUGCGGAAGAUAAAAAGAAAGAGAGAAAGAAAGAAAAGUAAAUUGUUAUGGUUAAUAUUAUCUUCUUAUCAGUUUAAACUAAAUCCGCAAACAAUUUGUUUCCAAUGAUAAUCAUUUUCAUCGAAUCACAAUUUGAAUCAUAUGUGUGUUUCCAUGAUGAUCUUAAGAAUCUGGGAUGAAGAUAAUCUUCCUCUUUUCUACUUUAUCAUCAUUGAAAGGUGAUGGUCAUCAUGCUUACAGGGAUUGACCCUCUCUCUCUCUCUCUCAGUUUAUCCUCUCAUCUUUACUUUACAACAUUCAUCUUGUUUUCAAUUUAAACUCAACACUUUACAAGACUGAUGAAAAAAGAAAGACUCAAUUCAAUUUCUUUCUUUUUUCAGAAAUUCUCCUGGCCCUUUUCCCUCUUCUUCAUCAUCUUUUUAUCUUCCACCCCCAGGAGGAAAAACUUCAUUAUAUUCACUGUGAAAGAGAUACUAUUAUUAUGAUAAACUCCAUACACUUGACUUUGAAUAACAUUUAGAGCAAUCCAAAAACUGACCACUGAGAGAGUGAAUCUUAUAUUUGAAUAGUUGUUCAGAACUUUUAGAAAAAAAUUCGACAAGAAUCUUGACCAAUUCUCUUUGAAUUUCAGGGCAGAACUGAGAAAAAAAACUGACCAUCCAUUAAGAGUGCAAAUGGUUGGCAAGUUUGCGAAGAGGAAAAAAAUAUCUUCAUCAUGAUGCUAAUGAGUUUAUCCUUUCAACUGAUCUAUUGUUCAACUUCAUGAUAAUAUCAUUCAUGGGGAAUUUUAAAACUCUGUCCACCAUAAAAUGCAGAUAAAAUCAGCAUGGGGUUAACUUUGAAUUCAUCAAUAUGAUGAGUCACCCUAUUGACCAUUAGUUAUACCAAAGGAGAUGACCCAAGGGUAAGAAAAGAUUAUCAAUUAUCAAAGAUCAAAAUCAGACAGAAUCGGAUAUUGUAUUUCCAAUGAAUACAAGAAAAAAAUUUUCGAAAUCUUUUUUUUGUCAAAUCAAUUUCCAUCAGAAUCUAUCUCAUGAACUUUCAUCAUUGUAAGAUUGAAACUCAUUUCAAUAGAUAAUCAUCACCAUGUUUAGAGUGCAAAUUUUAUCCUUUUAAAAAGGUUUCUAUGUAUUCAUCAAGAUCAUCAUGAUGAUGAUAAUCGUAAUGAUCAUUAUCAUUUCAGUGGGAGGGAGUUCGGUGGUAUAUUUAUCAUGGUGGAAAAAGUUUGUUUUUUUCAACUGAAACUUUGAAACCAGAAAGUUGACAUUAUUUUAAUUCAACCAAGUGGCACAAUCAACUAAUUUUAUUGCCGUUAUUAUUAUCAUAUUAAUAUACAAGAAAAUGGUUUUGUCAAAUUAAUUACUCGGAAAGUUCAGGAAUCAUGAGAAUUACAGUUAAGGCGCAAUUAUCAUUAGAAAUGAAAAGAAUGGGAAUCAAAUGGCUCUGAAAGUUUUACUCUUUUUCUGGUGAGAGUAUGAUGAUAAUGAUGAUGAUGAUGAUGAAGAUUACGAUGAAAGAUGUAUCUUCAUGGUUGAAGGGGAGAUAGAAAGUAAAAGAUUAAGAAAGAUAAUAUAAAAUUCAAUGAUAACCAUGAUGGAUUGUCUUUGGUUUUAUCCGAGUAACAAUGAACUCAUGGUGAAAGUUUCAAAUUCAAAUGAUUGGUAACCACAAACAAGAAGACAAAUGUAAAUAAAUUAUUAUUAUGUUUUCUCAUUCAGGAUUUUCAAUGAAUAUUUGAAUUAAAUUGUAAUCUGAUUGUUCAUUCAACUUAUCCUCAUGGUUAUUAUCAUGAAAAUCAUCUGAUACUUUUGUUUACCUGUGAUGGAUUUCACCGGACAAUCCGGAAAUUGCAAGUUACAAUUUUUGCUUUUCUUUUCUCAGUUAUUUCCUUGUUAUUCAUUCAUGAUAAUAUUCAUUAAUUAUUCAUAUUAUUAUUAUUGUUAUAUCUUUAUCAUGAGAAUCUUGUUGAAUUAUCAUGAAGAUGAUUUCAUUUUAUCUAUUGAUUUUUGUUCAUUGAGUUUUUUCAUUGUUUGAAUGUGGAUUCAUUUUGAUUAUGUGUUAAUCAAAUUGAUUCUGAUGAUUAUCCUGAAUUAAUCCAUGAUAAUAUUGAUUAUCAUUCACAGUAUGAAGAGGAUAAAAUAUAUAUUUAUGACAAUAAGUUAAUCUGUUGGGUGAAUAUAAAUUGCUUCUUUACUUGAUUAACAUUCAAUUCAUAGUUUCAAUAAUAAUAAACUCGAGGGUGUAACUAUUAGUUGAUUGUUUUCUUCUGGAAUCAAAAUCAAUAAUUACUGGAUUAGAUUAAGACCAAUUACUUAGUAGUUAUAAGAUGAUGAGGAUGAGGAUGAGGAUGAAACAAAAAAACACCAAUUUUGAUAAUUGAUGAUCAGCUAAUAGAUAAUAACAAAGGCAAGAAACAAAGUUUGAUUGCUGAUGAUUAACGGAUAAGAAUCGGUUUGAAUGUUAAUAGACUGGACAAUGGGUUGACCAUGAGCUUUAAUGAUGAUGAAAUUGGAUGAGGAUAAUCAUCACAUCAUCUCAGCAUGAGAUUGAAUUUUUAAGAAGAUGAUGAAAAAUUGGAAAAGAGAGAGAAAAUUUUUGCUUUUCUCUAUUCACUUUUAAUUAAGAUAAGUGAUAAUUAUCAUUAUGUUAAUAACAUGAUUGGAAACUAAAAGUAUUGAAUCAUAACUGAUUCUGAGCUGAUCAACUUGAUUCUGAUAUAAAAUCUCAUCAGGGAUUGAAUAAUAAGAAGAUACAUUUUUUGUUAUCAUCAUGUUCAUCAUCGGAUUGAUUGAAGAUGAGAUGAGGAUAAGAAGAUGAGAAUCGUCUUGGGAGAUGAUGAAGAUGAUGAAAGAGACAAAAAAAAGUUGGAAAUCUGAACUGAUUCAGUUGCAUCAUGUUAAGAGUUGAGUUGAUGUUGGAAAAAGUUUUCACUCAAAGUAUAUAUAAUAUUUGUGGAAGAUAAAAGAUGAUGAAAGAAGAUGAUGGUUUUACUGAUGAAGAUGAUGAUGACUGGGAUGAUAAUGAAGAUGAUAAGUAGCCUUUGUUGUUUUCUUAUUAUUCUGAUUGCUCCAAUGGAUUCAGUUGAAAUUUUUACCUGAAUAUGUUGAGAUAAAAACGGAGACACAUAAAUAUCAUACAAGAAACACAACUGAAUGACAAUUUUCAUCCAUGACCGGAUGCUUAUAUCAUCUGUCUCAUCCUCUACUCACUAGUAACCUCAUCUUCAUCCUCAUCCUCAUAUACACUCAUCAACUUCAUCACCAUGACAAAAUUUAUGAGCUCAAGUUGAUGAUAAUAUUAUGAUAGGUCAAAAACCGUGCUAAGAAUUCAGAUCUUUAACUCAUCCGUUUAUGAGAGGAAACUUUUCCCUCUUCCCCUACAACCUCCCACUUCCGUGAUGAUGAAUAGAUGAAGAUGAAGAUGGAGUAAAAAAAGUUCAUUCCUUAGAUUCUCAUCAUAAUCAGUUGAUUAUUACACUUAACUAUUACAGAAUCAAUAUUAUCAUUGAUAAUCAUUAUUCAUAUUCAUUCAAGUUGUUUGUCUGUUUGUUUACUCAAACUUUUUGACAAGGAAAAUGAUUCAAGUAAAUUUCAUCAUGAUUCCCAUUCAACUUGACCACUGUCCACCCAGCCAACCACCUCUUCCUUUUACCCUGAUGAUAGAGAAGAAGAAAAAAUAUCAUUAAUAUGGAUUCUCUAUGAAUUUCCUAUUCCAUUUUCCAACGGAAAUGUUUACCUUAUUUCUUGUUCAUCUCUUAUGUUCAUCAUCAUGGUCAACAUUUCGGUCCCUCUUUUCAUUUUGGGUGUUUAAAGUGGACCAAAUCUUAUCAUCAUCUCCAUCAUCAUGUUCAUAUACAUGAUGAAUAUAAUGUAAUGUAAAUACAGAAUAAUAAUAUUAUCAAGUUAUCGCCCAAUCAUUAGCUCAUGAUAUCAUCAAACUCACUUGAGAUUGUAAUCAUAAGUUUUGAUUGUCCAGUCAACUAUUAGAUUGGAAUCAAGAAUCAUCAUUAAACCUUGGACAACAAUCAGAUAACAACAAUUACUAGAUGAUGAACAAUUUAAUACCCAACCCACUGAAUAUUAUAAACAAGUGAUUCUUGUCCAUGAUGAUUGGGGAAAAAUUAAUUCAGAGACUUUUCAAACUUUGAUUCAGUUGUUCAUUGGGCAAGAAAAAUGUUAAUCAAUUAUUGUUGACAAUCAACAAAUCGCUUGAUUGAGUUAGUUUAAUGUUUGGUUUAAAUGCUGAUGAUGUUGAAAUUUAAUUUGAUGUUGAUCAUCAUCAUCAUUAUCAAGGGAGUUGAAUAAUCAUCAUCAUCGUCAUUGAACAAACUUUACUUUUUGUUUUGUCUUAUUUAUAUUUAGCUUUUUUUACUUUGAUCUUCUUAUGUUUUGACCAUAAGAUGAUAAAGAUGACCAGUAAGUAAGUCCAUUUGAGUGACCAGCACAAAGAUAAGUCAGAUGGACACAAAUACUUAAUAUAAAACAGAAUCAAAUUAAAAUAACUUGUUAUCUUUAUCUUGAAAGUCCAUUUACAGGGAUAACAUUUAUGGCUAAAUCUUUUAUUACUUUCAUUACUUUCGACUACUGGUCAUCUCAUACUGACCAUUAUCAACUAUCUUACCUUUUUACCGAACUCCCCUUGAUGAUUGAAGAGCAAUGAGAACAGUUUUUUCUUUUUUUUUUUUGAUUUGUUUCUCUUUUCUUUUCUAUUCCAAUGAACAUUCAUCAGAAUUUCAUCUGAAUUUCAUUAACAUGAUGAUAGUUUUUUUUCCUUCUUCUGUUACUUUGAUUGUUUGUCCAGUUAAUUGACUCAAUAAUUCAACGGUCAUUCCGAAUUGAUUUGUCAUUUGAUUCGGUGA